AGCAAACAAGAAGAAAAUGAUACCAUCAAUCAUUCUUGCAAUUCUUCUAUUGCAUAACAUGAACCCCAUUGAAAUCCCCAAAUUCACCAUACAAGAUGCCACAAUCGAUGACAUUCAAGCAGGACAAACUUACAUCCAAAGAGCUAGUUGAAUUUUACAUCCAGCAGAUACACAAACUCAAUCCGAUCUAUCGAGCAGUCAUCGAGGUCAACCCAGAUGCAGUUCAUCAAGCUGAUCAACAACGAAAGAAUAAGGACCCAAUUUCACAAUUUGGGUUGCAUGGUAUCCCUGUUUUAGUGAAGGAUAAUAUUGCAACGAAAGAUAAGAUGAACACGACUGCGGGUUCUUAACUCGGUGGUGCCUCGAGAUGCCGGUGUGGUUAACAAGUUGAGGGAAGCAGGGGCGGUUAUACUUGGGAAAGCAAGCAUGAGUGAGUGGGCUCAUUUCAGAAGCUCAUCUGCACCUAAUGGUUGGAAUGCUAGAGCUAAACAAGCAUUUAACCCAUAUGUAGCAACUCUUGAUCCAUGUGGUUCAAGCACCGGAUCAGCUAUCAGUUGCAACGAACAUGGUUACUGUAUCAUUGGGCACAGAAACAGAUGGAUCAAUCCUAUGUCCUUCAAGUGCCAACUCAGUUGUCGGGAUCAAACCCACAGUUGGCCUCACAAGCCGAGCAGGAGUCAUUCCAGUUUCUCCUAUAUAAAUUUUUCAUUUAUGACAACAUGUGGUAUUUGGAUGUGUGUUAUUUAUGCUUUUUGUUGUAUAAUUUUAUAUUUAUUUGAAAUAUCAGUUUGUUUAUAUCAA